rnacentral:rRNA from 1 species
UACGUAGGGGGCAAGCGUUAUCCGGAUUUACUGGGUGUAAAGGGAGCGUAGACGGCGAUGCAAGUCUGAAGUGAAAGGCGGGGGCCCAACCCCCGGACUGCUUUGGAAACUGUAUGGCUGGAGUGCAGGAGAGGUAAGUGGAAUUCCUAGUGUAACGGUGAAAUGCGUAGAUAUUAGGAGGAACACCAGUGGCGAAGGCGGCUUACUGGACUGUAACUGACGUUGAGGCUCGAAAGCGUGGGGAGCAAACAGG